GACUCGUUAGCUCAGUUGGUAGAGCACAGCACUUUUAAUGCUGGGGUCUUGGGUUCGCGCCCCAAACGGGUCA
rnacentral:tRNA from 1 species